UACGUAGGGGGCAAGCGUUGUCCGGAUUUAUUGGGCGUAAAGAGCGUGUAGGCGGCCAGACAGGUCCGUUGUGAAAACUCGAGGCUCAACCUCGAGACGCCGAUGGAAACCGUCUGGCUAGAGUCCGGAAGAGGAGAGUGGAAUUCCUGGUGUAGCGGUGAAAUGCGCAGAUAUCAGGAGGAACACCGGUGGCGAAGGCGCCACUCUGGGCCGAAACUGACGCUGAGGAGCGAAAGCGUGGGUAGCAAACAGG
rnacentral:rRNA from 1 species